CACGGGUGAGUAACACGUAGGUAAUCUACCUUUUGGUGGGGGAUAACUCGAAGAAAUUCGGGCUAAUACCGCAUAAGUUGGUAACAAGAAAGGAUGCUUCGGCAUUCGCCGAUAGAUGAGCCUGUGGGACAUUAGCUUGAUGGUGGGGUAAAGGCCUACCUUGGCGACGAUGUCUAGCGGAUCUGAGAGGAUGAUCCGCCACACUGGAACUGAGACACGGUCCAGACUCC
rnacentral:rRNA from 1 species